CCUACGGGCGGCAGCAGUGAGGAAUAUUGGUCAAUGGGCGCAAGCCUGAACCAGCCAAGUCGCGUGAGGGAUGACGGUCCUAUGGAUUGUAAACCUCUUUUGUCGGGGAGCAAGGCCCGCCACGUGUGGCGGGAAGGAGAGUUCCCGAAGAAAAAGCAUCGGCUAACUCCGUGACAGCAGCCGCGGUAAUACGGAGGAUGCGAGCGUUAUCCGGAUUUAUUGGGUUUAAAGGGUGCGUUGGCGGCCUUUUAAGUCAGCGGGGAAAGUCUGUGGGUCAACCAUGGAAUUGCCGUUGAAACUGGGGGGCUUGAGUAUGUGUGAGGCAGGCGGAAUGCGUGGUGUAGCGGGGAAAUGCUUAGAUAUCACGCAGAACCCCGAUUGCGAAGGCAGCCUGCCACGCCAUGACUGACGCUGAUGCACGAAAGCGUGGGGAUCAAACAGGAUUAGAUACCCUAGUAGUC
rnacentral:rRNA from 1 species